AGAGCAGAGACGUCAAAACUGAAUUAAUUCUUGUUUCGGUUUCACUGUUUAUGAAACUGAUCAGCUGAAGAAGAAAGCAAGCAAACACGCAGUGGUUGUUUAUAACGCUUACAAAAACCGAGACCGACUCGUUUUUGUUUUGUUUUGCUUUGAUUUGUUUUGAUUGAUGAUUGAUCAGGCCAGAAAGGAAAGGACCGGAAACGCAGCUCCUCCUCAGCUGUACGUGUGAGUUUCAUGCCGAGCAGCAUUCCCCAGUGAAGACUGGGUGGAGGUGUUAGGUGUUAGGUAGGUCACAGAGCAAGUGACGGAAAACCUCACCUGUCAGGUGAAUAACGUGUAGGCGUGGCCUGAGUGUCAGUGUUCUUAUUCCUCUCCGGACACCUCCAGCGCAGAGUGCGCUCCCUUCUCACAGUAAUAACUUCCUGAAAAGUGUGACCUGUUAUAAAAGCAUGAUGGUGAACUGCUGUGGUCUGAUCACUGCCAACAAGGAGCCAGUUCCUCUGAAGAGCAUCGAGGUGGAGGUGGAGGUGAGAGACCAUGUGGCUACAGUGGUCUCCACUCUGAACUAUGAGAACAAGGAGGACAAACCAGUAGA